rnacentral:rRNA from 1 species
CUACGUGCCAGCAGCCGCGGUAAUACGUAGGUCCCGAGCGUUAUCCGGAUUUAUUGGGCGUAAAGCGAGCGCAGGCGGUUAGAUAAGUCUGAAGUUAAAGGCUGUGGCUUAACCAUAGUACGCUUUGGAAACUGUUUAACUUGAGUGCAGAAGGGGAGAGUGGAAUUCCAUGUGUAGCGGUGGAAUGCGCAGAUAUCAGGAGGAACACCGAUGGCGAAGGCAGGUCUCUGGGCUGUAACUGACGCUGAGAAGCGAAAGCAUGGGGAGCAAACAGGAUUAGAUACCCUGGUAGUCCAUGCCGUAAACGUUGGGCACUAGGUGUGGGGGACAUUCCACGUUUUCCGCGCCGUAGCUAACGCAUUAAGUGCCCCGCCUGGGGAGUACGGCCGCAAGGCUAAAACUCAAAGAAAUUGACGGGGGCCCGCACAAGCGGCGGAGCAUGCGGAUUAAUUCGAAGCAACGCGAAGAACCUUACCAGGUCUUGACAU